GUGACAAAACAUAUAAAGCUAAUAAUGCUCUACUUUUUUUUUUGUUUAUAUUUAUGCAGACAAACCAUCAUGUAUGCUUCGUAAGAUCCAUAUCUCACGUUAGGCAUUGGUCAAGAACUCCUUUCACAAGAGCUCUGACAAUGGGGAUAUUUGACAUGCACUUCCUGCAGCCAGUCAAUAAAGCAACCAAUUCCAAGCUUGCUUUGUGUCAGUGGCCGAAUUCCUCGUCAAAAGUGCUCCGAAGUAGUCGAUCACAAAGAGAGAAUGACUUGUGAAGCUUUCUUCCACCAAUCCAAUAUCCGUUUGCUCGUAAAGGUAAGAUUGCGUAUAUUGAUUUACCUGUUAAGGAUAACUUACAGAGGAUUAGUUAGAGCUAUAAGAAGAUUAAUCACCAAACGUGCACGUAGACGAAACCAAAGAAGAAGAAGAAGAAGAAGAAGAAGAAGAAGAAGGAUAAUGUACUUUCGAACUUGAGAUGGAAGGACUACCUUGUUCAAGCCACUAAGGUUGAAAGGGACAGGCCAUUGACGUAUUCCAAGCAGCAUCUGUUCUACCUCUGACUUUUGUCACAGCUGCAAUACCUCCUGCUCUGUUCUCCGAAUCAUUUGACGUCAAGCCGUCGACUCUAUGGAGACGGCGAGCAAUCCAUAUGUCAGUAAACCUAUAAGAAGUGAAAUGAUUAAAGAAAUUAAAGAGUUUG
rnacentral:lncRNA from 1 species